AGGUCCUCAAAGCUUUCUUUAAUUUCAUUUCGAACUUGCAAUUUCAGACGGAUAAAGCUUCAAUAUUGGAUGGCGCUAUCGCAUAUAUCAAAGCCUUAAAGAUGCAAAAUGAAGCUCUGGAAUUUUCCAUGAUCACGUGGCAAGCCACCGAGAUGAGUCAGACUGCAAGUGGCGGAACUGGUAUGCCGAAUAGAGAACGUGUGUCCAUGAGUCAAUCCUGCGCCGGAGUUUUUGUGCCACAGCCACCACAACCGUUAUCAGCUGAUAAUAUCCUGCAGUUUCCUCAAAUGGCGGAAGAAUUGCCAGUAUUGCCUUUCACUAAUUUGCCCUCGUCCAACUUUGCUGCGGCUUCCAGUGGGUUCUUGAGUUUUCUAAAUCAAGAACACUUUGCUUUCCCAACAGCAAAAACCACCUCUUUCAAGUAAAUCAGGUUAGAUCAACGAAUCAAGCGGGUUAACUCUGGCAUAUUGAACGGCUGGUCGAAUUCGAGUCAAAAAAGAAUCAAGUGAAGUCCAAGACUCCAAGAUUUAGCAUCUCUACUCAUGAUCUUAUCAACCAUAGAUGAUGAUGCUAAGUUACAUAUGUUCUGCUUUUUGGUAUCUGAUCAGUAAUAUAAGUAUAAAUUGUUACUAUGGAAUAUUUAGUUUUGAAAAGCGUAAAAUGCGAAGAAGGUGAGUUAAAUUUAAUUUUAAAAUUUAAUCAUAACUAUUUCGAUCUACAUAUAUAAAAUUCUCAGAGGCAAUUGUGCUUUAUAUAGCCAGCGAGCAAAUUUUGCAAAUAGGAGGCUGAGACUGAGAAGAACUCUUUGAUUAGGACUGUUACUGUAGUUUUUAUUUGUUAAUUAGUUUCAUGAUAUUAAGAACCGAGUAGUGGCCAUAAGCAAGACUAAACUGGUGGCUCUCCUCCGCCAUGUCUAUGACCUCGGCCAUCAGUGUCUGGGCGAAAACUACGUUUAAGAACUCAUCGAAAAAGCUCCUCAGGUACCUAUUCUAUUCUUCUUUCGAUAUUCAUUUAUGUCUCGAAACUUUUGGAACUUCUCUUCCAUUAUACUGAAUUUGAUGCUUUUAACUGUAAAAUACAUAAGAUCAGGGGUGAGCAAAAUUACCGAACGGACCGAACUGAAAAUCAAACCGACUCAUUUUAGUUCGGUCUGAUGCCCAAGAGAGGUUCAGUUGGUCAGUUCGUUCGGUUUUAAACCGAAUUUGUUGCUCCGUUCAAUUCGAUUACACAAAUAUUAGGCAGUUGGGCUUAGAAUCCUACCGAAAUGAUAAAAAUUGACAAAAAAAAUAGACCGAACUGACUGGUUUGGUUCAUAUACAAAUUUCAAUUCAAUUCAAUUUAUUAUAAAGAAAUUUCGGUUUAUAUUUUGUGGCGUCGACCAAACCAAAUCGGCGGUUUGCUCACCCUUAUCUAUAACAUAACGGAGCAUAGAGAAGCCUGAAAAACACUAAGAAUGUUUAGGCUUAGUGAUUCAAAUUGAAAAGGUUGAUUUUCGUUAGUAAUGAUACUAGUGGUUAGCGACCUUAAUCUCAUAAGGAUGAGAACACAAAUUCGAUUUCUAAAAACCCAUUUUGUCGAGAAAGCCAAAAACCUUUAUUAUUUUGAGAGAGAGGGAGAAUAUUAAAGAUGAGUAUAAAAAGAUAAUUCCAUUAAAUAGGAUGAUAGAUUUUAGUUUUUUUCAAAAUUAAAAAUCAGAAUUUCUAUUGAAUCACAGGUUAUAUAUUCUAAUUUAAAUUGCCACAUUUAUGCGAAAGUGUUUGGUAAAGACAAGCUAGCCAUUUGUCAUUUUUCAAUUAAAAUCAAAAGAAUCAAAAGAGAUGAUACUUAAUUAAUAAAGUGUUGGUUGAGGUGAUAAGUGAUCUCAAUCUCUGUAAUAAAGGUGCGAAUUCGAUUUUUGAAAAAUGCAUUUUGUUGAGUGUGCAGAAAAGAUUUAUGCUAAGUUACACUUUCUGGUUAUAAUAAUAAUAAAAAAAAAAA